GUGCGUAGCUCAGUGGUAGAGCAUCUGGCUUUUAACCAAAUGGUCUUGGGUUCAAUCCCCA
rnacentral:tRNA from 1 species